GACGAACGCUGGCGGCGUGCUUAACACAUGCAAGUCGAACGGGAAGGCCCUGCUUUUGUGGGGUGCUCGAGUGGCGAACGGGUGAGUAACACGUGAGUAACCUGCCCUUGACUUUGGGAUAACUUCAGGAAACUGGGGCUAAUACCGGAUAGGAGCUCCUGCGGCAUGGUGGGGGUUGGAAAGUUUCGGCGGUUGGGGAUGGACUCGCGGCUUAUCAGCUUGUUGGUGGGGUAGUGGCUUACCAAGGCUUUGACGGGUAGCCGGCCUGAGAGGGUGACCGGCCACAUUGGGACUGAGAUACGGCCCAGACUCCUACGGGAGGCAGCAGUGGGGAAUAUUGCACAAUGGGCGGAAGCCUGAUGCAGCAACGCCGCGUGCGGGAUGACGGCCUUCGGGUUGUAAACCGCUUUCGCCUGUGACGAAGCGUGAGUGACGGUAAUGGGUAAAGAAGCACCGGCUAACUACGUG
rnacentral:rRNA from 1 species